GGAUGUGGCUCAGGUGUUAGCGUGCUCGCCUGGCAUGCGUGAGGCACUGGGUUCGAUCCUCAGCACCA
rnacentral:tRNA from 1 species